UCGGGCUAAAAAGUGUAUCAUUUUCUUGCUGUUUACCAUAUCGGUAGCAAAUUUUUACGGACCGGUAUAAGUUUAAUACUAAGCGGUAGCAAAUUUAAUACGAGAAAUCAAUAUCUGCCUGACCAUGCCAAAUUUCUAACCGUGGACACUAAUUAUGGAAAAUAAGUGCUGUUGCGAAGAAUUUACUUUAAAAGGUCUCGUGGAAGAGGGGUGUUUUAUUUAUUUUUGGAUUAAAUAUUUAUUAAAGUGGACAGAAGUUUUGACGAGAAACAUGAGUGCACGUGCGUUUCAUGUAAACAGUGCACUAUUUGAGUAUGCGUGAUGGAGUGGUGGUGGAGCGGAGCGCAGCGUUACACUAGGAUCUAGGACAGAAUUUGACAAUUUUUGCCUUUGGUUCUCAACGCAGAAAUCCUACCAACGUACUCUGUGAAACUGAGCAGUUGGCGCCCAACAAUUUUUCAAAUUAACAGUAAUUAAGUCCACCUUGUGAAUAUUGAUCAGUUUCAACGAAAGGAAACAUUUGCUGAAAUUUUGAGAGUUUCGUUAGAUAAGGAUUCAUCUUGGGUGACAUGGAGUCCGUUCGAGAGGAAAUGACCGUGAAAGAGAACCCACUGAACAAUCAGAUUAUUUUAACGGAAAUAUUCAAAUGGGCAUCAACUCCUUUAAAAAAUUGUCGCCUGGUUUCGAAAUUUUGGAACGAAACUGUUCUCUCCCUUCCAAAUACCAGACUUGCCUUAAAGCUGACCCGUAAAGAAGAUUCUGGCGAAAAUUCGUCCCAAGAUUCAGACCAAGAUGAAUCUACUAUCGAAGAUUCCGAAGCUUUCCAAUAUUUCGGAAUGUGUUGCACCUUAGUGGAUGGCCGACUCGCGAAACGGAUCAGCGCAGCAAGUGACCUC